rnacentral:rRNA from 1 species
AUUGAACGCUGGCGGCAUGCCUUACACAUGCAAGUCGAACGGCAGCACGGGAGCAAUCCUGGUGGCGAGUGGCGAACGGGUGAGUAAUAUAUCGGAACGUGCCCAGUCGUGGGGGAUAACGCAGCGAAAGCUGUGCUAAUACCGCAUACGACCUACGGAUGAAAGCGGGGGAUCGCAAGACCUCGCGCGAUUGGAGCGGCAGAUAUCAGAUUAGCUAGUUGGUGAGGUAAAGGCUCACCAAGGCGACGAUCUGUAGCUGGUCUGAGAGGACGACCAGCCACACUGGAACUGAGACACGGUCCAGACUCCUACGGGAGGCAGCAGUGGGGAAUUUUGGACAAUGGGCGCAAGCCUGAUCCAGCAAUGCCGCGUGCAGGAUGAAGGCCUUCGGGUUGUAAACUGCUUUUGUACGGAACGAAACGGUGAGCUCUAAUACAGUUUGCUAAUGACGGUACCGUAAGAGUAAGCACCGGCUAACUACGUGCCAGCAGCCGCAGUAACAC